CCCUUAGAUGUCCGGGGCUGCACGCGCGCUACACUGAAGGAAUCAGCGUGCUAAAACCAUUGUCGAAAGGCAUUGGUAAACCCAUUAAAAUCCUACGUGAUUGGGAUCGGGAAUUGCAAUUAUUUCCCUUGAACGAGGAAUUCCCAGUAAGUGUGGGUCAUAAGCUCGCGUUGAUUACGUCCCUGCCCUUUGUACACACCGCCCGUCGCUGCCCGGGACUGAGCCGUUUCGAGAAAAGCGGGGACUGCUGCUGUCGGGGCUUUCGGGCCUUGGCUUCGGUGGAAACCGCUUUAAUCGCUGUGGCUUGAACCGGGCAAAAGUCGUAACA
rnacentral:rRNA from 1 species